rnacentral:rRNA from 1 species
GACGAACGCUGGCGGCGUGGAUUAGGCAUGCAAGUCGAACGGUAUCAUCCUUUCGGGGGUGAGAGAGUGGCGAACUGGUGAGUAACACGUAGGUUAUCUACCCUCAAGACGGGGACAACCCAGGGAAACUUGGGCUAAUACCGGAUGUGAGCAACUUUUAGUUGUUUGAAAGGUGGCGUAAGCUGUCGCUUGGGGAUGAGCCUGCGUCCUAUUAGUUAGUUGGUGAGGUAACGGCUCACCUAGGCAAUGAUAGGUAGGCGGCCUUAACGGGUGGUCGCCCACACUGGGAUUGAGAUACGGCCCAGACUCCUACGGGAGGCAGCAGUCGAGAAUAGUCUACAAUGGACGGAAGUCUGAUAGUGCGACGCCGCGUGAACGAAGAAUCCCUUCGGGUGUAAAGUUCUUUAUACGUGAGCAGUGCCCUUUAUAUGAAUAGUAUAGAGGAGGAUUUAAGCGUAUGAAUAAGCAACGGCUAACUCCGUG